rnacentral:tmRNA from 1 species
GGGGGUGUAUUGGUUUCGACUGGCGGGUUUCAGGCCACCAGCUGCAGGUCAAGCGCCAACUUGUUAAACUAGCAAAACCUAUAACUGCCAAGAAAGAAGACGAGAUCGUCCUCGACGAAGCAGAAUUCGCUCUCGCUGCUUAAUCGUAGCCAGAACGGACAAGGUUCAGGAUGCCGUGCCCAUGGCCCUGUUCCCUGUAAACAACUUGGGCUUGUCUAUUGCUGACGGAUGUAAGCGGUAGAGACCUCCCACACCCUGGGUUCCCCGAAGGACUGACCAGCUGCCGAAGGGAACCGAGAUACAAUCAGCCGGAUCUAAGCCUGUAGACGCUGAUGGAUGGUUCGUUAGGACGGGGGUUCGACUCCCCCCACCUCCAU